rnacentral:misc_RNA from 1 species
AGUUUUUUAGUUUGGUUGUGGCGGCCGGAGGGUGAGUUGGUCUGCUGCAGUCCCCGCCUCAUGGCCUUCAAGGGUAGGCUGUCGUGUGCCGUCUGAAUAACGUUGGUGAGCGUGGCGGUGGUGGUGUUGGUUUCCGUCACCCAGGCAGACCAACUCCUACAGCAGAAGGAGCAGACACACCAACAGCAGAAGGAUGAGGAACACCAACGGCUCUUUAUCACCGGCAGUAGUGAUUCUAUCAUUAUCGGCAAUUACUCCAUGUUCGCGGUGGCCAUGUUCUCCCUGCUGGUGGGGGCCGCCAUCCUCCUCUCUGUGGUGGUGAGGUCCGGCAGAGAAGGAGAGACAGACUACAUCACCCCCACCGUCUACGGCGUGCCAGUCCCCCGUUACGACGAGAUCGUCUCCAUGGUCAGUCGCUUCCUGGACACACCCGCCGAUCAGUAUGAGUAACAACAUCUGCCACGCCUGCGUCAGUAGUGUCGCGUCAUUCACUAUACUAGCAUGCUAAUGAGGUGGUUGUCAGUCUUAUGUCACCUUUUAUGUAUAAAUUUUACGUAAGACGUAAAUGUUCAGUGUGUAAAUAUAUAUUGCAAAGUUGUGUAAAUGUACUUAAUGUUGUUGUGUGAUAUAAAAUGUAUCCUAUUGUAAAUAAAAAUUAUGUAGCCAU